GGCCUCGUAGCUCAGCUGGUAGAGCAUGCGCGUACAAAGCGUAGGUGGCAUCCAUGCGUGGGUUCGAAUCCCACCGAGGCUA
rfam:Echinostoma caproni strain Egypt genome assembly, scaffold: ECPE_contig0023852